rnacentral:rRNA from 1 species
CCGUAACUAUAACGGUCCUAAGGUAGCGAAAUUCCUUGUCGGGUAAGUUCCGACCCGCACGAAAGGCGUAAUGAUUUGAGCGCUGUCUCGACAAUGCACCCGGUGAAAUUGAAGUACCAGUGAAGAUGCUGGUUACCUGCGCCAGGACGGAAAGACCCCAUGGAGCUUUACUCCAGCUUGAUACUGGGAUCCGAUGCUGUAUGUACAGGAUAGGUGGGAGGCUAAGAAGCGGUGACGCCAGUUGCCGCAGAGCCGAUGUUGGGAUACCACCCUUGCAGUAUUGGAUUUCUAACCAGCUGCCGUGACCCGGCAGUGGGACAAUGUCUGGCGGGGAGUUUGACUGGGGCGGUCGCCUCCGAAAGGGUAUCGGAGGCGCUCAAAGGUUCCCUCAGAAUGGUUGGAAACCAUUCGAAGAGUGCAAAGGCAGAAGGGAGCUUGACUGCGACACCGACGGGUGGAGCAGGUACGAAAGUAGGACUUAGUGAUCCGGUGGUAUAAAGUGGGAUUGCCAUCGCUCAACGGAUAAAAGCUACCCUGGGGAUAACAGGCUUAUCACUCCCAAGAGUUCACAUCGACGGAGUGGUUUGGCACCUCGAUGUCGGCUCAUCGCAUCCUGGGGCUGUAGCAGGUCCCAAGGGUUGGGCUGUUCGCCCAUUAAAGCGGUACGCGAGCUGGGUUCAGAACGUCGUGAGACAGUUCGGUCCCUAUCUGUCGUGGGCGAAGGAUAUUUGAAAGGAGCUGUCCCUAGUACGAGAGGACCGGGAUGGACGCACCUCUGGUGCACCAGUUGUCACGCCAGUGGCACAGCUGGGCAGCUAAGUGCGGAUCGGAUAAACGCUGAAAGCAUCUAAGCGUGAAGCCGUCCUUAAGAUAAGAUAUCCCACUUUUAAGUUAAGACCCCUUGUAGACUACGAGGUUGAUAGGUCUAAGGUGUAAGUUGUGUGAGCAAUUUAGCCAGCAGAUACUAAUCGGUCGAGGGCUUAAACCU